rnacentral:rRNA from 1 species
UACGGGGGGGCAAGCGUUGUUCGGAAUUACUGGGCGUAAAGGGCUCGUAGGCGGCCAACUAAGUCCGACGUGAAAUCCCUCGGCUUAACCGGGGAACUGCGUCUGAUACUGGAUGGCUUGAGUUUGGGAGAGGGAUGCGGAAUUCCUGGUGUAGCGGUGAAAUGCGCAGAUAUCAGGAGGAACACCGAUGGCGAAGGCAGCUCGCUGGGACGGUACUGACGCUGAGACGCGAAAGCGUGGGGAGCAAACAGG